UUUUGUAUGGGAGAGAGUAAGGAAAGGGAAAAAGAGUCUUUGCCUGGUAAUCCAGAGUAUUCUUCCGGAGCUUAGACUUCAGUCAGCAAGUGAUGAAUCCUGCCAGGACUGGAUUUCCCUUCAAGGCAGUGGGUUCCCUUCUGGCUCAGGGUGUAUCUAGAAAUGUUGUAUAGUAGCUAUGGCCUAGAAUGGGGGCCUCAUGACUCUGCCUGGUGCCCUAUCCUACUGUGGCUGAGCUGGUAUCCAAGUUGCAAGAUAAAGUCCUCUUUACUCUCCCAUCUCCUCUCCUCAAGCAAAGGGAAGAGGUCUCUUUCAGAGAUGCAAGCAGUGCUGCCUGGUGUUGGCGAUGGAGCAGAUGGCAAAGCUAGCUAGGCUCAUGUCCUUCCCUUAUAGGCAGCGAGCACUGAUUUAGUCACCGUGGCUUGUGUCUUACUAGACUGUGUGCCUCCCAAGGCCACUGACUUAGAGCCCAGUACAGCAAUAGGACUUGCAUAAAAAUUGCUGUCCUUGUGUCCUAGACUGCUGUUCAAGUUUAUUUAGGACCUCAAUGCACUUUAGCCCUUGGUGGUAAGGCUUGCUGAAACUCAGGUUCCAGCCACUGGGAUGGGCAGUUCUUCUCUGGUUUGUCUAAAUGCUCCCUCUGUGGGCAUCAGUGGAGCUCUGCUCAGUGUUGGCAGCACUGUGUUCCAAUGCAAAGCGCCAUAAUUGCUGUGCUCUCCCUCCACCAAGUGUACAGAUUAUCUCUUCAAGACAGGUGACUGCUGCUGAGGAAUGGAAGAUGGAUGGCAUCAGAAUUCAAGACUCUUUUACCCAACCUCUUUAGUUCCUCUUUCAGCAAUAUGAAGUUAAAAUCAGAUACUGUGAUCACUCACCUGCUUUUUUUAAUUCCUAUGAAGCAUCACUCUCUUCUUGCUUGAAUAUUUAUGAAUAGAAGUGCAAUGUAAUUCUUCCCCAUGCUCCUGUAUAGUUAAAAUCCAUACACAGCCAGGAGCAACUUGUCGAAAAUUACCAUUUAAGUUUUCCUACCAGUUUAUUGUCUUAGCAGCUGCUGCUCAAGGUAAGCAAAUCUCUGCUGUAUCUCUGAUUCAAUAUAUUUCUACAGAUUUUGGUGUGAUGGUUUGCUUUAUUAAAUGCAAGUAGAGUCAGUAAUAUUGUCUGUCUAUCUGGUUUUAUCUUUAUGUUUUUGUAAUGACAGAAAUGAUGACUGCCACUCUCUGUACAUGUCAGACCUGGGAAUAAAAGCCCACUUCAUAGAUUUUAAUUUUCUUAUUUUUAGGACAGAAUGUGGUUAUAAAUUAUAGUUUUAAAAAACUCAUUUUAGUCAUGGCCUAAUACACUUCAUUUAAAAUAUUUUUAUGUAUGAAGAUUUUAAAAUAUUUUUGAAAAUAUAUUUGAUAAAAUUUUUUUUCUUAAUAUAACAGUUGUCAGUUGAUCCUGGUUCCUGAUUAUCUUAUGGUUAAGUUAAAUGGUAAUAGAGUGCAUAUUUCCCAUUGAGUUGAAGUAUUCAGGGUAUUUAGAAGUAUUUAGAGGACAUAUAGACUCACACGGUUUACUUUUUCUUCCAAAUCUGUAAGCAGAUAGGAAGGUUCUCCAGGGAUUACAGAAAUUUGGUCAAGUUGAGCAACAGCCUGUUUAGUCUCCUGACAUUCAGCCUGUUUUUCCCUAAAUCCUAUAUGGAAUACAGUCACCUUGUUGGUCAAAACCAGCUUCUAACACAACCUGGCAAAUUAUAAAUGAACCCAGGUGGACUUUCCUUAUUACCAUGCUAAAGUCUCCAUCAUGAGAGGAACUGCAGCUACAUUACAAUAACAUGUGACCUAUGUGCUGCCAUAAUGACUCACAGCGUCUGCACAACUGGAACUCCUCCUCUGCAUGCAAUGAUGCACUGUCUCCCCACUCUAUCACCCCAUAAAACCCUUCUGUCACUUUCCCUUAGAGAGACAUUGCUUUGGAGAAUACUCCCAGUGUUCUCCUUACUUAUGCCAAGUAAUCAAACUCUUCUUGAUCAAAAACUGCAUUCUCAUGGAGAGUCAUUUGUUACUUGCUAGGUGAACGAACCCCAUCUUUUUCUGGGUAAUAGACCCAUAGUCCCAAUCCUGGCCACAGAAGACUAACACAGCUGAAUGUUUUAUGACUUUACUAGAUCCUUAAAGAUAUUAUAGACUGUCAGAUAUUUUCCUAAAGAAAGGAAAUGUUCAUUUCUGCUCCAGAAAAAAAAUAUUAUAAAAUCCUAGCGUCAUAUUCUACUUAGGGGCCAGAGAAAGGAAGGCAGAUUUUAUAGUUACAAAAAUAUUAUUUUUUCAAAUGCCAAUGAUGACAUUUAUUUCUCUCAUACAAACAGUGAUAAAUAUGAUUAUUUUUAUAAAGCAUUUUGAGUUCCUUGAGAAAAAAAUCCAUAGUGUUAUCUGUGCUGUUUUUGUUUAGUCAAAAAGCAAGACUCACUCUAGCUUACAAUUUCAGAAAUCUUCCUGGAGGGCAAUAGCUGAGCAAAGUUGGGAGAGGGGGAAGAGCUGACUAAGAAAGGCCAUCUUUUUAUGUGGAAAGAAUGAGUUACCAUCAGAGAAAGAAAAAAAUGAGUACAUCAAGGAAGCAAAUAUAUCAAGGAAACAGCAGAAUGUCUCCUAACAACAACAACAAAAGGUUUCUACUUAAAAGAGCGUAAAGGAGCAGGCAGGACAGAAGUGUACUCAGAGAUCUUUCAUGAAAAUUUUGAGGAAAUGUUGAAGAAUUUGAAUUCAAUUUUGGAGGCAAAGUGGAGCUUUUGUCAAAGUUGAUGUAACAGAUAAUGAAGGUUUAAAGGACCAUAGUGGAAACAGAAAAAGAAAAGGAGCAAGGGAGUCGAAAAGAUAUUGAAGCCACAUUUGCAUGAUUUUAUUUUCAGAUAUAGAAAUUAAGGGAAGGUAGAAAUCAAGGUUGUUGUUUAGAUUUCUAGGUUUGGUGACUGAAUGGAUGUUGCUGAUACUUCCAGAAAGAAAAAAAAAAAGAUAAUUGUGGAGUGCAAUGGACUGAAUGUUUAUGCCUCUCCUGAAUUUAUAUUUUGAAAUUCUAACCCCCAAAGUAAUAUUAGAAUAUUGGGAUUUGGGGAAGUGAUUAGGUCAUUGAGGCAGAGCCCUGAUGAAUGGGAUUUCUGCCCUUAUAGAAGAGGUCCCAGAGAGCUCAUUUGCUCCUCCCACCACAUGAGGACACACUGAGAAGGCACCACUUCUGAGGAAGCAGGUCCUCAUCAGACACUGAAUCUGCCAGUGCCAUGAUCUUGGACUCCUAGCCCCCAGAACAAUGAAAACUAACUCUCUGUGUUUUUUUUAUAAGCCCCAUAGUCUGUGGUACUUUGUGAUAGAAGCUCAAAUAGACUAAGACAGGAGAAAAUGCAUUUGUAAUGAGGUGAAAAUUUGAAAAAAGGUACAGGCCCAGGUUGGUAUUCUGUGGAUGAGGAGUUUGUUAUCUGUGGUAUAUUUAUAGUCAAUAACAUAACACUUAUAGUAAGAGCUGUGAGAAUGAUUAUAGAGAGGAAAGAGUUAAGGUAAGGACUCCAAGAAAUAUCACUAUUAAAUUAAUAGAAAAAAAAGAGUCAAGGAAAAAGAGGGAAUACUAAUGUUUAAAUGGAAGGGGAAGCAGAGUGAGUGGUGUUACAAAUCCAAUUGGAAAAAUUACUGUAAGGCAAAAUAUGUGGUGAACAAUAUUGAAUACAGUGAGUUGGAGGUGGAGUAUGAAAUUCCCAUUGUUUUAUGAAAUAUAGAAUUCACUGGUAACCUUUUCCAAAGUAAAUUUAAUGGAGUCAGAGAUGUUAUCAAAUAAAGAAAUGAAUGGAAUAUGAUGAAGAAGGCAUCAGACCAAGACUAUAAAUAAAUUUAGUUGCAAAAUUAGAAAGAGAGAGAGAAAGAGGGAGAAAUACUGUAAUUGGGGAGAUAAAUCUAGGGAAUCUAGGGGAAGGUUGUGUGUACAUUAACAAGAAAGAUUUCAGCAUAUUUGUAGUGUGGGGGGAAGAGUAGGUAUCAAAAAUAAAGAUGAAGAUGCAGAAGUGAUGUAAGAAGGGAGGGGAUAUAGGGACAUGUUCUUUCCUGAGACUCUGGAAAAUUGGUUAGCUCUGUGUGCAGAUAUGUGUGUAGGAUGGAGAAGCUGUGGAAGACUAACAGAGAAUUGCAGAGACCAUGCUUCAUCAUUUGUAUAUCCUUCUUGUUUUAAAUCUGAGGUAAAAUAAUUUUGUUAGACAAAUCCACAAAUUUUUAAAAGCGAUUUCAUUUAAGUAAAUGCUUACCUAUUUAAAUUCUUUACAGAAAUGCAUGGUUUGUUAGUGGCCUGCCUUUGUGAAAGCAAACAAAUUUAAAACAAAAACCAACAAAGAGAAAUCAAGACAACUUGUGUCUGCUUAUGUGGUAUACUGAAUGUAAAUCCUGUAUUAUUUAGAACUUUAUGAAACAUUUGGGAGUUGCAUUACCUUAGGAAAACUAUGAUCACAUGUGAAUCUUGUAAUAUCUUAAUCAGUAGAAAAAGAUAAAUUAUUGGCAUGAAAAGAUAGAAAAUAAGAGAGGCUUGCACAUUUUUCCUCCUGUUCGUUCUUCACUCCAUUUUCCUUCCUACAUCUUGACUAGGCUCAGGUACAGGGCACCAGCUGCUCCAGGAAAUGCCACACCAGCUUGUGCACAGGUGCUUCUUACCCAUUGUGAGUGAAAUUGACUGGAAUCACACAAUCUUCGUCAAUUUCCCACUUGUAAAAAUCAGUUCUUCUAGGCAAGGGUGCUGCACUACAUUUGCUCUGCAGCUGGCAGUCCCAUAGAGCUGAGGUGGAGGAAGAAUAGGAGAUGACCUGCUGCCAGCACAUGAUGUGCCCUGUGUUAGUAAGCUCCCCUGAUUUUUAUCAGUAUCAACCACCUAUAUGAAGAGACCAGGAGAGUAUCUGGCUGAACUGAAGGAAGUAAAGAGUUUCUUGUUUUAAUCCUCAAGCUCCAUUCUAACUCAUAACUAAUGAGCUAGCAUCAUGCACAGCAGUACCAUCUUCCACAGGCAGCAAUUAUAUAAGAAUAGCAUCCCAAACUUGGUAAUUCUGUGACUGGCUGGCACACAGGCUGCUAGUGUGGGAAGAUGCUUUUCACACAGAUGUUAGCUAGAAAAUAGACUGAUGGAAGUGACUGUAGAUUACUGGGAUCACAAUAAGAAAGGACAAAGAUUUAAAUUUAAAAUCUUUAAUGCACAAGAUGAUUCAUGCUGAAGAUAUUUUUUCUUUGUGUGACUCAUGAGACUUCUAAAUGGGUGGAUUUCAAUUAAGAGCACAAAUAGAGGUGAUUUUAAUAACCAGCCUGGUGUGUUCUCCCAAUAACCUGAAUUGGAAUGUCCUAUGGACCUUAUCACAAAGCAGAUACCUAGAUUAUACCUCUGUUAUUCUAAUCAGUAAUUAUAGGUGAGGCAGAAGAAUCAGCCAUAUAUAACAAACAGGUGAUUCCUGUGCACAAUAAAGUUUAAGAACUACCAGUAUAUACUGACCUUGGUAAGGGACAAACAGGCAACAUAAUUAUGCAGAGAAAAUUCAAAGGCACUUUCAUUUUAAAUUUUACCAUUUUUAAACUAACAGCAGUUAAAUAAACUCUGAUGUGAACAAAUAAGAAUUAAAAUUAUAUGGAUAAAGAACAACUGAGUAAUUUUAGCUAUCAUUUGAAUAGCAAAAAUUGAUGUUUCUUUUUGCACAGAAGUACUCCUGGGCCAAGCAUUUGAAGCUAUUUGGUAGUUGUUACUGACCUCUUCAAGUGUGUUAGAGCUAGAUGGCAAACAUGCUUACUGGAUGAGAAGGCUCCAGUGUCUUGCUGGAACCAUGAGACUACCCUAACCCUACCUGUUAGGGAACUCAAUUUGCACAUCGUCACUUCAGCACACAAACAGAAUAGAAUGAGAUAGUGUAUCACUCUGUCAUCCAGGCUGGAAUGCAGUGGUGUGAUGGUAGCUCACUGUGGCUUCCAUCUCCUGGGCUCAAGUGAUCCUCCUGCCUCAGCCUCCAGAGUAGCUGAGAUUACAAGCAGGAGCCACUAUUCCUGGUUCUCUCCCAUUUCUAAAAUCACUGAUACUGUUCUUUAAUUAUAGCAAUCCCACUCCUGCUUCCAUCCCCGACCCAAUUUCUGACUUUGCCUCAGAAUCCAUGUCCAUAUGACUCCCCAUUUUCCUAAUCCCCAAAUUACAGGUAACCACAACUGAAUAAAUAAGUUACAUCAUGGAAAACAAUUCUUUUAGUUUAUAAACAUGUAUCAGAUAAAAGACAGCUAAUCUUCAAAAGGAAAAUUUUACACAAUGCUUGGACACACAUUAGCCUUCAUUUGCUUAGUUUGAAAAAGUCAAAUAUAGACUAAUACCUUACCUUACCUAGUAAUGAUAACUACCUUGACUUUAUUAUGGUUUUGAAUAUUGAAAUUCAUAUUUUUCAUAUCAAUUUACUUAUGCAAAAAAUUUAUGUAAUCAAGGAAGUAAAGAUGUUAUCCACAACAUCUUCGUUUUUUCAAUUAGUUCUUAGAAAAUUAAUUCACAAAAAGAUAUUAUUCAGCAAAACUGAACAUCAAAUUUAUAAUCUAAUCUGUUUAGGAGACAAUCUUUGAAAUUUAAUUAAGCUAGCUAGAACAAAGAAUGGUGCGUAUGAUUAGAGUCUACCUAUAAUAUGUCCAGAUAUCUGUUGUCUUAUUAGUCGAUCACUGUUGGAAAGUGUGCACUCCCACCCCUGCUAAAUGCACAACUAAAAUAAGAAUUUACACAUUGAAAUAAACUUUUUAAUGUUUAUACUGAACUUUCUGUACCAGUGAACAGGAAAACAAAGUGUAACUAACCAAUUAGUAAUGAAUCUUUCUCUUUUGAAAUACUGUAUAUUAAUAUCUGGUUUUCCAAAUAUCAGCAUGUCAUAUACAGAGUAGUUUCACUGUGGAAAAGAAAAGAGAGUGAUGAUUUUUAUAUACUGUUUUUAUGUCUGGUGGAAUUGCUAGCAUAAUUUCUGUGUCCUUAAUAGCCUUAGGAGCAAAACAUAAAAAUCAAAUGAAAAGGAGUAACAAAGAGAUUAUCAUAAAUUUUUUUGUAGCCCUAAAAUAUGUAAAAUCUUCAAAAACAAGAAGUUGUAUUUCAUGAUACUAUGCUGUAUUUCAGGCUCUGUAAUGAUCCCUUGUGACAUCUUCUUUAAUUCCAUCCCAGCUAUACCCAGGUGAACCUGAUGAGUUUUUGCUUGCCCAUCUUACAUUCAUAAUCUUUCAGAAUUUACACAAUAACCUUGUAAUUACUCAUUUUUAUUACCAAUCUCUUAGUUCCUUAAAGGUAUGGAUCGAAGUUUGUUCAUUUGGUAUCCUCAGCAACUAGAGUACAUUUUGUACGUAUCAAGCAGUCAACAAAAUUUUGUUGAAGCAAUAAUAAAAUCAUUUGAAAAAAGAGUCCUGAAUAUUAACAUAACAUACAUCUUUUGAAAAAUAUAGAUUAUUUUCCCACAGAUCUUUUUUUUCCUCUCUAGGUUUUAAGAAAUAUAAGAGUCUUCAGGGGCUAGGAGUGAAAAGUUGUUAACUCAGACCACUUAUGUUUCAAUCAUGAGACAAGUAACUUUUGGUAAAACUAUUCUCUAUGUAGAUUGUGUUGAGUUUAUUUAAAUCUGGAUAAUCUACAAUUAACGUUAGACUUUUAACAGUUUUCUAUUCACCACUGAACUGGAAGAAAUUAAUGGAUGAAUUAUUUUAAUUAAAAAUAAAUACUACCUAUGUAAUUGUAGCUUCUGUACUCACAUUACUCAAAAAUAUAAGAAUAUUUUGAGGCUUAGUAUUUGUCAAUUACUGAGAAUGUCACAAUAAUUACACUAAAAAAUCAUAAAUUUAGAAAAAAAUUGGUACAUAAUAUAUUUUUACUAUAUGUAAUCCAGCCUACUGGUGUCAUCUAUGCCUCACAACAUCAGUACUUGCUAUGAGCUCUGAAUGUAAUCUUGGGUUCUUUGAACCCAAUAUUUUAUGCCAAGAAGGCAUAAAAUACUAACAAAGAUAAAAAUAUAUUUAAAUAGAUAAUUGACUGGAGCUUAGAAUCUAUUCCAUGUUAGUUUACAAAAUGCACUCUGCUUUCUAUUCUAACAUUAUAUACCUUCUAUUAAUACUAUUAGUCAAUGAUUGCUACACCUAAAAAUAAAUGUUGUGUCAAAUUUUCUAACGUGUAUUUUUUUACUCCAACUCAUCUUUGUGUUAUUUAAAAUGAUCAUAAUGCUUUUGACUUUUUGAGAUAUCUAGUCAUUUUUGAGGCUGGCAUUUUCUAUCUUUCCAAUCUCACCUAUCAUACAUUAAAAUUAGAGAAAUGAAUGGAACUUCUGAUGAUAAAAGAAAUCAGUCAAGCAUUUCACAGAGGUAAUUGAGAGCAGAAAAAGAGGAAUGUGUUAUGUCUAAGGGGAGAAUAUUCUAUUUUAGAAAAUUCACUUGCAAUACAACACCACUUUUAGAUACCUUGUUUUUCUUCUUUCAUAUAUUAUGAUCAAAUACUAAGAAACAGGAAUAAUUAAAUGUAUAUACAUUUAUUCUACUGAAAGAAUAAUUCAUAAAGAGACAGUUUACCUUCAAAGAGAAAACAGCAUCUAAGGUGACCACUUCAUUAUGAAAGAGUGAACACAAACGAUGUGGCAAAGUUGUUGAGAUGAGAGACACAAGUUUCUCAUUUCUUAUCAUUACUUAAGAAUGUAUUUUUUCGGGGCAGGACUUUAUUCAAAAGAAAUUCACAUGAACCUCUGCUGAACCUCUAUAAUAGGUAUAAAGUGGCAAGUGAAGGGUUCUGUAGUUGUGGAUUGGGAGAGGAAAAAAAAUGCUAUUAAAAAUAAAAACGUUUCUAAAUUAUAUCAACAUUAUAUUCUGUAUCAAUGAUUUUUAUAUAUAAAAUAACUUAUAAUUAAGCAUGUAUCAUUAUACAUAUAGGAAAGGAGUCAUAUUGGGACUUGAAUAAAUAUUAUCUAU
rnacentral:lncRNA from 1 species